rfam:Mus musculus chromosome 15, GRC primary reference assembly.
GGAUGUGAGGGUGAUUUAGUUGUGACAUUGUCACCCCAUUGAUUGCGAGAGUUGAUGUGGCUGAUCUAGCUAGGUAGGCAAGUGCUCCCUUACUCCCUUGCCACUCCUUGUGCAUCCCUCCUGAAGCUUGGUGGCCUUCCCGGAAUAGAGGAGGAACAGUCUUCAGUCAAGGGUAUAGGAGUAGCUGUGUUCCCUUGCUCGAACCUCCAGACAAGCUCCCAAGAUCUUGGCAGAGGCUAUGAUCUUUUGAAGGUUUCACAGGACAGAAGGACCCAUCUCCCAAGAUGGCUGCCUGAUACUCAGGAGGCCUUAGUACCUUGUUGG